rnacentral:rRNA from 1 species
GGUACACGCUGUGACUAGCAUAUCAAUAAGCGGAGGAAAAGAAACUAACAAGGAUUCCCCUAGUAACGGCGAGUGAAGCGGGAAGAGCUCAAAUUUGAAAUCUUAAAGGGUUUCCCUUUACGAAUUGUAGUUUAAAGAAGUGUUUUCUGUUGAGGUUUUGGUAAAAGGUUCUUUGGAAUAGGACAUCAUAGAGGGUGAGAAUCCCGUAUUUGACCUUUACUUUCAACUUUGUGAUACACUUUCAAAGAGUCGGAUUGUUUGGGAAUGCAGUCCAAAAUGGGUGGUAAAUUUCAUCUAAAGCUAAAUAUUGGCGAGAGACCGAUAGCGAACAAGUACCGUGAGGGAAAGAUGAAAAGAACUUUGAAAAGAGAGUUAAACAGUACGUGAAAUUGUCAAAAGGGAAGCGUUUGACACCAGUGUUGUUUUUCUGAAAAUCAAUUAAAGAACUGUUUACUGCUAAGCUGUUUAGACUUUAUCAGCUAAUCUGUUUAGUUUUGAGCUUUUCUUUAAUGCACUUUUCAGUUAACAAGUCAACAUCAAUUUCUUUUGCUGUAAAAAAGCUUGAGGAAGGUGGCUUGAGAUUCGUCUUAAGUGUUUAUAGCCUCUUGCCUAUGCAGUCGGAGAGAUUGAGGUCUGCAGCGUAGAUCCUUCGGGGCUAAAUGCAUUUGUGCUAAGUUAUAACAUUUUAUAGACAACUUGUUGACUAUGAUUUGUCUUGUAGCUUACUCGCUUAUGUUAUUUUACCUACGCUUAGGAUGUUGAAGUCAUCGUAUCGCGC